AAGUCGUAACAAGGUUUCCGUAGGUGAACCUGCGGAAGGAUCAUUAGCAAGAGAUUGCCUGUGGCCACGGCUAUGAUUGAGUUUGUGGUUUAACAUGGGCAUAUUGCCAUCCUUGUGUUAUGUGUAUGAUGUUAGUGUAUGUGCCUUUGGUCUCUGGGCCACAGGCACACUACUCUUUCUUUAAACUCUUUUUUAUAUCUUUUCUCUGAACCUUUCUUUGCGUGCUUGGAAACAGGCAUCAAAAACAAUAAUCGAAAACUGCCAGCAAUGGAUCACUCGGUUCUC
rnacentral:misc_RNA from 1 species